AUUGAACGCUGGCGGCAUGCCUUACACAUGCAAGUCGAACGGCAGCACGGGAGCAAUCCUGGUGGCGAGUGGCGAACGGGUGAGUAAUAUAUCGGAACGUGCCCAGUAGUGGGGGAUAACUGCUCGAAAGAGCAGCUAAUACCGCAUACGACCUGAGGGUGAAAGGGGGGGAUCGCAAGACCUCUCGCUAUUGGGGCGGCCGAUAUCAGAUUAGCUAGUUGGUGGGGUAAAGGCCUACCAAGGCAACGAUCUGUAGUUGGUCUGAGAGGACGACCAGCCACACUGGGACUCAGACACGGCCCAGACUACUACGGGAGGCAGCAGUGGGGAAUUUUGGACAAUGGGCGCAAGCCUGAUCCAGCAAUGCCGCGUGCAGGAAGAAGGCCUUCGGGUUGUAAACUGCUUUUGUCAGGGAAGAAAUCCUCUAGGUUAAUACCCUUGGGGUCAUGACGGUACCGUAAGAAUAAGCACCGGCUAACUACGUGCCAGCCGCCGCUGUAAGAC
rnacentral:rRNA from 1 species